UCCAAGUUUCAGACUAUACAUAUUAACCCACCUCAUCAGCGCGCGCGGCUGAUAGCUAGCCAGCCGGGUCAUCACAGGAUUCUUCGACGAUGGCGGCAGCGGUGACGGCGCUCCGGCGUGUGGUGCUUCUCCUCCUCCUCACGUUGUUCGUCAUGGCGGCGUUGCAUGAGGCGCCCACGAUGGCUUCCGCCACGAGGGUUUUGCUACAACUACGGUUUAACGGACCUCCACCUCCAGAGGUUCCGCCCUGCGAUGGUUGCCCAUAGAGGGUGCAAAUUGGCCGACCCAGGAAACCAUUUAUAUAUGGGUCAAUUAAUUAGGUACAUAUUGAGACCGACAUGCAUGGGCGGGAAGUAGCACCCUUAUAUACACAUUUAUCUGCACACUAUCAAACUAUAUUGCUUAGGUCCAUAAUGAUACUUAAAUUAUAUCAUGGUUCGGUCUUGUAAUAAUCUUUUAGAUUUCUAAUAGUUUCUUCCCCAUGGAUUAUAAGGAUGGAUCGUAUUGUGGGAAUGAUACUGUUAUUAGUUUAACUUAUAAUUGCCUGUCGUGGAUGUCCGUAUUUACAGGGGAGACUCUGCCGAAAUUUCUAAUAA